GCCCUUGUCGCCGCCAGAGUCAUGGCUCUGUUGAUUACUUCUGGGAAGUGUUGGAAACAGGGCCUUAAAAAAAGAAUGGCGUCCAUUUACAUAAUGCUUUGUUUGCAUUUUGCAAGUUUCUUUCGGUUGAACCUACAGAAACCCCACCUUCUAGUGUCGUUUUAGUCGUGGCAGUCCCGUCAGACAUUUAGAACAAUGGUGUACCCUUUUGGGGCCGCAUUUAGUUAGGGUUGCCGACUAGUGCUUUGGGGAGUUAUUGCGAUUUCCCCCACACCCUUCAUUUUCCCGCUUCUGUCUUUCGGCGUUUCCCCCAUUUCCCCUUAAUGGUGCAGCCGCCUCUCCCCGCUCCCCUUGGGGGCGGCCCCUGUCGGGCUCCGCCAUCUUGGAAGGCCUUUCUUGCCGGUUCGUCACCGCGCGUUCCUCUCGCCAAAGAAAGGUCGUUUGGGAGGCUCGUACAGUGCACUUAGGCCCAGAGAGAUGAAGUGACUAAUUCAAGGUCACACAGUGUGGAGGAUGGAUUCCAGACCUUCUGAUUUCCUUAAUGGCUCCACAUCCAACCUGGGGCUUGAACUUAACAACUCUGAAAUCAAGAGUUGCUUGCCACUGACUGAGCCAGCCAGGCACCCCAUUCAGAGCUCUUGUUUCUUAACCGUGACGUUGUACUGCAUUGUGCAUGGAUUGAGGGUGAUGGUGAGAGCCUGGACAAAAACUGCAUUUUGUCUAGCUUAAGAUGAAAAGUGGUCUUGUCACUGUAAUACAGUAGUUGAGAAUGUGACCCUGAUAUGAUGUGAUAUGGUAUAUAAUUCUAGAGCCAACCUGCUGAACUUGGACAUAACUGCUUACUGUGUGACCUCGGGUAGACUUCAAAAUCAGUGUGCCAAGUCCUCCUCCCUUGGACUGCACAGUGGAGCUGGAAACAUGAGUGAUCCCAGUGGAGUCCUUUGUAGACAUAAGCACCAACCAUACCAGGAGCUGGAUUUGAUCGGGCUGGACUUCUUGAUGCAGAAAUCACAUGGCCCUUUAAAAAGGAAGAAACCCCUCACUGCCACUGACUUCCACUUGGGGGCAUUUCCCGGUCUCUGACCCAAAGACAGUCCUGUGGACCUUCAGAGUUCUCAUGUCUCUGCUGCUAGCCAUAUGCUCCCCACUGUAGCCCACUGUAGCCAAGCUAUCCUAUACUGGGGAUUUCCUGUCCAUCCUGCAGGGGACUCUGCCUCCAGGUAGUGCCGUCUCCAAGCCUGGUCUCCUCUAAGGAUUUCUGUGGGUUAGCUCUGGGGAACUUUUCUUAAUCUGUUCUUAAAUGUGUUAUUCCAGAAAGAAGUCUUCAUAAUUGCCAGCAUUGUGAUGGCUUUUUCCUAGUUUCUUCUGUGCAUGCCUGUUUUUACCUAUUUCA